UACAGAGGUGGCAAGCGUUGUUCGGAAUUACUGGGCGUAAAGGGCGCGUAGGCGGCCCUCUAAGUCAGACGUGAAAUCCCCCGGCUUAACCUGGGAACUGCGUCGGAUACUGGAUGGCUUGAAUUCGGGAGAGGGAUGCAGAAUUCCAGGUGUAGCGGUGAAAUGCGUAGAUAUCUGGAGGAAUACCGGUGGCGAAGGCGGAUCUCUGGGCCUUACCUGACGCUGAGGCGCGAAAGCUAGGGGAGCGAACAGG
rnacentral:rRNA from 1 species